rnacentral:snoRNA from 1 species
CUAUUCUUUUCACAAGUUAUUUUGGGGCAGUGGGACUAGGAUUUGGUAACUGGUGGCAAUCAGAUCUUUGAUCUGAUUGCUUUAUUACCCUGGAACUAUGCCAGUGGUAGCUGCACCUCAGAAAGACAAAG